rnacentral:lncRNA from 1 species
CAGGCGGACAAAGAGCCCGGCCGACUGCGGGGCGCGCUCCCUCGUGCGGACGACCACGCGGGAUCUGCACGGCAUAGCUUCCCGACGCGGUACCCGGACGCUGCCAUUCCCCACCGGGCCCUGGGGAGCCCAGAGCCGCCCCUGCGCCCUGGGCUGCUUCCGCUGGAUCCCCCCACUCGAGGUGGUCCAGGAACAUCAGCCACACGGGACAUGGCAGCCUGGGGGCCACCGAGGGGCCGACACCGAGGGGACGUGGAACAGCCUGGGAGGUCGCCAGCCCCUGCUAUGGCCUGGUUGCCGUCCAGGGCCCAGGGUAGCACCAGGAGGAGGUGACUGGCAGUUAGGAG